UCCCUGGUGGUCUAGUGGCUAGGAUUCGGCGCUUUCAACGCUGCCUCCCGGGUUCGAUUCCCGGUUAGGGGA
rnacentral:tRNA from 1 species